GGAUUUGGGAGCGGCGGGAUGGACGGAUGGACGGCUGGGGUGGACGAGGAGCCGAGAGCAGCCGGUUCCGUUCAAGCACUGUUGAAGCGAGAACGCGGCUGUGGCUGCUCAAAACCCGGCGGGGGCUUUUAUAGCGCGUCCCCGCUGGGCGGGGAAAAGGGGGCACUCCCCUCCUCUGUCCCCUCCGGCAGGGUGCGGUGGCCUUGGCCCUUGUCCGUGUUUGUCACACGGUCCCACAGUCAGCAUGACUGGGCAGGAUCGUGGAGGAGUCCGAGCCCACGUGUGUGCCCCCCCAGGAGUGGUCCCCCGGGGCGCGGAGGGGGCGGCUGGGGGAAAGCCCCGGUUCCCUGCUGGCUUGGGGGGCACAGGGAGCCUGGCGGAGGUUGGGGAGGAGCUGGGGGGUGUUCGUUGGGUGUCCUGCCAGGUCCUGAGGUGCCGAUGCCCGUUAAUCGGACUUUGAUAGGUUAUAGGGUGCGGAAGGAGGUGACUCGGCGCCAGGAGCAUAAAAGAGGAACUUGGCCUCGGGGAAACGCUGACUCCGCUUUUCCACCGCUCCAGGACUGGGGCGAACUCGGGGAAACCGGUUGGAACUGGGAGCCCCACAGCGCUUCCCUUCUCAUCCCUCAUCCCUUGGGGUGCCCGCAGCUCCGGAGGGGGCCCGGCUCGGCUGGAGCUGAGAAGAGAGUCCGGGGAGAAGGGGGAGCAGCAGCCCCAGAUACCCGGAGACCACCCCCCACCCCACCGAAGCUAUCCCAAAGUCCCUUUGGCGCUGGAUCCAGAGGCUGCGCUGCAGGAAGGACACGGCCCCGUGGAGGACGGUCCAGAUGUGGGACCCCCACCCCAACACCCCUCCGCGGCUGUUCAGUGAACCCCGGGAUUGGGAACCCCCACACGCGUUUUCAAGUCCCACUGACGCCAAACAUCCCCCUGGCCCUGCGGGCGGGAAGGCCCCUCUCCGGCAGGCACCCCUCCCCACUUCUGCUCCCUCAACCAGGACCCCCAGUCCCGGAGAUGUUGUUGAACAAAAGAGAAGGGGAAGGGACCCCGAUUCCCCUCACAACGGCCCGGGGCAGCCGCCCCCCCAC
rnacentral:lncRNA from 1 species